rnacentral:rRNA from 1 species
GAAAGAUGAAAAGAACUUUGAAAAGAGAGUUAAACAGUACGUGAAAUUGUUGAAAGGGAAACGAUUGAAGCCAGUCGUACCUGCGGAUAAUCAGCCUUUAGGAUGCGAUUUUGUGGAGUGUGAGGAGCUAAUCGCCUUCAUGCCUGUAUAUUCGUGUACUUGGGGUGUACUUACUCGUGUGGUAAGUUAACAUCAAUUUUGGUCGUCAUAAAAUGAUUGGAGGAAUGUAGCUUCGAUCUCGUAUUGAAGUGUUAUA